GAGGAUUCAGGGGAAAGAUAAGAUGUUCAUUUUGGGAGAAUGAAUCAUGAAUAUGGAGAACUGCAUUUGAAGUAGGAUUCCAAUAAUGUCUGGGCUGAAAAUAGAGGUUUCAGAGUCAUACACAAAGCUGUGGUGGUAGUGGUGGAAUCUGUGGGCACUGCCGAGAGUACCCAAGCAAGUGGUGGCAGAAGGAGAAACCUGACGAGAAGGAGCAGGCAUUCAGAGAUGGAAAUCACAAUUAGAAAGAAGCUGAUGUCACUGAAACAAAGACAAAAGGAAACUAAAGGAAAAUGAAAUCAAGCAAGACUAGUGAGUUUAAAAGCUGCAGAGAACCCUUGAAAGUACAGGAUGGCAAAAUGAAAGACAUGGCUGGAAUGGUGAAAGGAGCUUAGGAAUUUGAGUUUGUCUUUUGUUCCUCGGACUAUUCUUCAAGAGUGAUCCAAAGAUGUCUGUGUGGAAAUUAUUUCACUGUACUGCAACACUGAAGAUUUGAAAGUUUAGCAUAUGCUUAUGAAGGUCAACUAUUUGUUAAAGAUGUUCAAAGAAUUCAUAUUAUAAGAAAUUCCUCAAAAAAUUCAGGAAGUAGUGAAGUGCUGAAGAGAAGAGUAACAGAGGCAGUGGGACCUUGAAACAAGAAAUAGGAGAAAAGGAAAGGAAGUUUGAAGGCAGAAGAUGUCUAAAGCAACUGCAUCCAAUUCUUCUGAAGACUGAAGUUGAAAAACAGGAAAGGAAGUUUGGGGGAGCUGCCAUCCCCCUACCUACUCUUGUAUAGAAGGACUUCCUUGUAAAGAGGCUUUCCUUGUGAAGAGGACUCAAGACCUUGACCUUAGUUCUUCAAAGUUGCUAUUCCUCCAGGGUACAUGAAGAGCUGGCUAGAACAAGAUCUCCAACAUGGCACAGCAACUUCUCCUUUGUCAAUCUGGGUGACACAAUAGGGCAUAAGAACACACAAAAGUAUACUUUUCAGGAAGGGCGGGGACUGGGGAAGCACCUGCUAGACCUACACUGUAAGUGAAGAAGAUCAGCAAAAUAUUUAUGAGUAAUGGAAGAGAGAAGAGAAGUCUUGGGAUGCAAUCAAGAAAUUGAAUCCAAAUCUAUUAACUGAAAUCUGUAGGUAGUGUCCUACUAGUGUGGACCUGUUGAGCAACAGCCAGUUCAGGAAAGGUGAUGAAGACUUGAAAGAUGAAACCAAGAAGAAUAUGAAAGUUAUGGCAAGGUAGGGAAAUGUAUGAUAUUUGAGAUUCCUGGAGUCCUGGAUGGUGAAGUGGUAUGUACAACUUUGUGAAUUUAGGAGAGUUGAGUCAGCAAUUAAAACUGUUGUUGAUCUAAAUAGAAGAUAUUUUGGUGACUGAGUGGUGAAAACAUAUUUCUACAAUUUAGAUGAAUUCAGGGUCUUGGAUCCAGUAGAACAAGUUCUGUUAAGAGCUAGAGUCAUCUCCUUGAUCCUUAUAUGGGCUGCAGGUGUGCAAUUAACCACAUCAGCCUCAACAACUCUUUGCCACUAAGAUUCUUAGAUGAAUCUGGAUAAUACAAGUUGAUGAAUCUCUUUAUGAUUUUGUGGAUUAUUAAUAUUCUAUGAAAAUCCUUUUAAAAGAGAGGUUCUAUCAUUCCAUAGAUUAGCUGCAGAUACUCAUAAAGUCUCACCUAUAUGUAUUUAGCUAGGCAAGCAUUUAAAUAAUAAUUAGUCUGCUGAAUUUAGUAAUAAAAUUUUGAGAGGAUAAACUCAAGAAAACUUUCUCAAGCAUUUUUGAGGAUGUUGUUAGCUCCAGGUUUGCCAGUGUACCCUCCAUCCUAUUACCCCUUUUUCUUCAUCUUGUCUUCAAGUUCUUGGUCCCUGAACAAUUUUCAAACUUUGGCCCCUGAUUUCUAUAACACAUUGUAGUUCAGAAUUUGAUCCAAUAACCAUUCAUAGAACACUGAGUAGGGCUUGUUAUUAUCUUAUUCCAUGUGGCACAUGAUUGUUUCAAUGCCUCUGUAAGAUGCACACUUUCAAACUUCCUUCCUUCAUUUCCCUAACCAAGUUUCCUCCCUGUGGUUAUUCACAUCUAUUCACAUGUGUUCUUAUUCUCUAGGCUUCCUAGACUCAAUCUCUGGACAACUUUUCAUUUCUUUUGCUUUCCUUCUCCCCUUAGAUAUUCUCCUGUGAGAUCAGUAUUGGAUUGUAUUUAAAGUAUGAAAUGUGUAACAGCUGGAACACACUAGGCAUUUAACAGAGACAUUUCAUUUUUUUCUACCAUAAUUCCUCCCAGAUCCACAUUCUUCACAUUUGGGCCUCAAUGUAUCCUUCUUUCCAUUUCACAGUGUACACUAUCUCCACAAGCAUUCCCAGCCUUAGCUCUAAUUCUUUAUAAUAAGUGUUGACUGUGUCUUUCCAAAAGCUAUGUCCAAAUUCUAAUUUCUAUUACCAGGGACCAAGGCCUUAAUUUUUUUUUGGAGGUAUGCCUUUGUCAAUAUAAUUGAAGAUCUCAAAGAAGAUCAUUCUUGGUUUAGGAUGGAUCCUAAAUUCAGAUAGCUUUAAUGUAAGAGAAAACUGAGACAUAGAAGGGGAGGCUAGUGAGGAUGAAGGAAGAGGCAGCUUCAGAUCAAACAAUCCCACAGGUUGGCCCCACCCAUCAAUAGAUUAUUCUUCAAUGCCUCCAAAAGGAGCAUGCCCUCAUGUACUUUGAUUUGUGAUUUCUGAGCUAAAGAAAUAUGAGAGAAUAAAUUUGUGGAAAUUUAGUAGGCUUAAGAAGCUAAUGUAUCCUCUUUGAUAUUUUUAAAAUAAAUUUUAUUUCUUAACUGAUACACAAAAUAAAUUGCAUGAAAACCAUAGGAUAUUUUAACAGAUGUAUACAUUGUAUAGUGUUCUUCUUGUUGAUCUAGUUCUUAUUCCUUCAUUGUGAAAAUUGUCAUAAUUUCUUCUGGCUUUUUGAAAUGUAUGAAAUAGUAUUAUUUUCUUUAGUCACUUUAUUGUAGGUGUAUUGCUCCAGUAUCAGAACUCAUUGAUUAAACUUUCCUUAACUUCUUCCCCCAGUUUCUGGUAAUGACCAUUGCACUCUCAGUUUCUAUGAAACCAGUAUUUAUCAGGUCUACAUAUGAAUGAGCAUAUGUACUGUUGUCUUUCUGUGCCUGACAUGAAUUAUUCUAAUGAACUUUACUUCCAUCUA